rnacentral:rRNA from 1 species
UACGGAAGGUAGCAGUGGGGAAUAUUGCACAAUGGGCGCAAGCCUGAUGCAGCCAUGCCGCGUGUAUGAAGAAGGCCUUCGGGUUGUAAAGUACUUUCAGUCGUGAGGAAGGUGUUAAGGUUAAUAACCUUAGCAAUUGACGUUAGCGACAGAAGAAGCACCGGCUAACUCCGUGCCAGCAGCCGCGGUAAUACGGAGGGUGCGAGCGUUAAUCGGAAUUACUGGGCUAAAGGGCACGCAGGCGGUUAAUUAAGUUGGAUGUGAAAUCCCCGGGCUUAACCUGGGAAUGGCAUUCAAGACUGGUUAGCUAGAGUCUUGUAGAGGGGGUAGAAUUCCAUGUGUAGCGGUGAAAUGCGUAGAGAUGUGGAGGAUACCGGUGGCGAAGGCGGCCCCUGGACAAAGACUGACGCUCAUGUGCGAAAGCGUGGGGAGCAAACGAGGAUUAGAUACCCGU